GACGUAGGGGGCGAGCGUUGUCCGGAUUUAUUGGGCGUAAAGCGUGCGUAGGCGGCUGCGCAAGUCGGUUGUGAAACCCCGGGGCUCAACCCCGGAACUGCAUCCGAUACUGCGUGGCUAGAGGUAGGUAGGGGAGAUCGGAAUUCCUGGUGUAGCGGUGAAAUGCGCAGAUAUCAGGAGAACACCCGGUGGCGAAGGCGGUCUC
rnacentral:rRNA from 1 species